rnacentral:rRNA from 1 species
GCAUAACGCGAAGAACCUUACCUGGGCUUGAACUGUCGGUAUAGGGACCCGAAAGGGCGACGAUCCCGGGCAACCGGGAAGCCGAUAGAGGUGCUGCAUGGCUGUCGUCAGCUCGUGUCGUGAGAUGUUGGGUUAAGUCCCGCAACGAGCGCAACCCUUGUCUUUAGUUGCCAGCGAGUCAUGUCGGGCACUCUAAGGAGACUGCCUCGGAUAACGAGGAGGAAGGUGGGGAUGACGUCAAGUCAGCAUGGCCUUUAUGUCCAGGGCUACACACGUGCUACAAUGGGCGGCACAGAAGGACGCGAGACCGCGAGGUCAAGCCAACCCUUAAAACCGUUCUCAGUUCGGAUUGCAGGCUGCAAUUCGCCUGCAUGAAGUCGGAAUCGCUAGUAAUCGCGGAUCAGCUACGCCGCGGUGAAUACGUUCUCGGGUCUUGUACACACCG